UACGUAGGGUCCGAGCGUUGUCCGGAAUUACUGGGCGUAAAGAGCUCGUAGGUGGUUUGUCGCGUUGUCCGUGAAAACUCACAGCUCAACUGUGGGCGUGCGGGCGAUACGGGCAGACUGGAGUACUGCAGGGGAAACUGGAAUUCCUGGUGUAGCGGUGGAAUGCGCAGAUAUCAGGAGGAACACCGGUGGCGAAGGCGGGUCUCGUGGGCAAUGAACUGACGCUGAGGAGCGAAAGCGUGGGGAGCGAACAGGA
rnacentral:rRNA from 1 species